rnacentral:rRNA from 1 species
ACGGGUGAGUAAUGCCUAGGAAUCUGCCUGGUAGUGGGGGAUAACGUUCGGAAACGAACGCUAAUACCGCAUACGUCCUACGGGAGAAAGCAGGGGACCUUCGGGCCUUGCGCUAUCAGAUGAGCCUAGGUCGGAUUAGCUAGUUGGUGAGGUAAUGGCUCACCAAGGCGACGAUCCGUAACUGGUCUGAGAGGAUGAUCAGUCACACUGGAACUGAGACACGGUCCAGACUCCUACGGGAGGCAGCAGUGGGGAAUAUUGGACAAUGGGCGAAAGCCUGAUCCAGCCAUGCCGCGUGUGUGAAGAAGGUCUUCGGAUUGUAAAGCACUUUAAGUUGGGAGGAAGGGCAGUUACCUAAUACGUGAUUGUUUUGACGUUACCGACAGAAUAAGCACCGGCUAACUCUGUGCCAGCAGCCGCGGUAAUACAGAGGGUGCAAGCGUUAAUCGGAAUUACUGGGCGUAAAGCGCGCGUAGGUGGUUCGUUAAGUUGGAUGUGAAAUCCCCGGGCUCAACCUGGGAACUGCAUUCAAAACUGUCGAGCUAGAGUAUGGUAGAGGGGUGGUGGAAUUUCCUGUGUAGCGGU